rnacentral:lncRNA from 1 species
CGUCUCAUCGUGGUUCUUUCAGAUGCCUUCCUCAGACGUCCCUGGUGUAGCCAGAGCUUCCGGGAGGGACUGUGCCGCCUACUGGAGCUCACCCGCAGACCUAUCUUUAUCACCUUCGAGGGCCAGAGGCGUGAGCCCAUUCACCCUGCUCUCCGUCUCCUGCGCCAGCACCGCCACCUCGUGACCCUGCUGCUUUGGAAGCCUGGCUCCGUGGUGCGAAGGCUGGAGGCGAGGGGGUGGGGGGUUGUGAGUGGUUGCCUGGGGUGGUGGAGGGCUAGGGGGACCUGCAGUCAGCCAACAGCAGUGCUAUUUGGGCCUGGGUGGCUAGAGGCUUCCAGUUUGUAGAUCCCCAUGUGUUUAUACUGACGGUCCAAACCUGGCCCCCA